rnacentral:rRNA from 1 species
GAGUUUGAUCCUGGUUCAGAACGAACGCUGGCGGCACGCCUAAUACAUGCAAGUCGAGCGCGCCCUUCGGGGUGAGCGGCGAACGGGUGAAGUAACUGGUGGGAAUCUGCCCUUCGUCUCAGGAAUAGCCUCUGGAAACUGGAUAGUAAUACCUUAUACGCCCUUCCGGGGAAAGAUUUAUGGGACAAUGAUUGACCCCCGUCUUAUUAAGUAUGUGGGGGGGGAAUGGGCUUCCCAGCCUUCUAACUAUAACUGGAUUGAAAAGAAGAAUCACCCCCCUGGGAAUGGAAACCCGGCCCAACUUCUUCCGGAGGGAACCGUAGGGAAUCUUAGACCAUGGGGGCAAACUUGAACUAACCAUGCCCCGUGGGUGAUGAAAGGCCUAUGGGCUGAAAAGAUUUUUCCCCGAGAUGAAAAUGACCUGAUCUGGAAUAGAAACGCCGGGUUAAUUCCUGGCCACCGCCGCGGUAAUUCCGAGGGGGUCAGCGUUGUUCCGAAUUUCUGGGCGUUAAGCACACCUUAGGUGAUUAAUAAGUUAGAUGUGAAAUCCCCGGACUUUACCUUGGAACUGGCUUUCAUACUGCUACUCUUGAAUUCUAGAGAGGUAAAUGGAAUUCUCAGUGUAGAGGUGAAAUUCGUAGAUAUUCGCAGUACAACAGUAGCGAUGGCGAUCAACUGGCUCGAUAGUGACGAUGAGCUGCGAUAGUGUGGAGAGCAAGCAGGAUUAGAUGUCCUGGUAGUACACACUGUAAAUUAUGAAUGCCGAUGUCAGCAAGUAUACUAGUGAUGUCACACAUAACGGAUUAAGCAUUGUACGUGGGGAGUAUGGUAGCAAGAUUAAAACUCAAAGGAAUUGACGAGGUACUGCACAAGCGGUGGAGCAUGUGGUAUAAUUGGAAGCCAUGCGCAGAACCUUACAAAUCCGUGACAUCUUGUGGUGAUACCAGAGAUGGUAUGUUCCGUUCGAAAAACCAGUGACAGAUGCUGCAUGUCAGUUGUCAUCUCGAGUCGUGAGAUGAUGGGUUAAGUCGAGCAAAGAGCUCAAUCCACAUCUUUAGUAGCCAGCAGGUUAAUCUGAACAAUCUAGAGAAACUAACCGUGAUAAACGGGAGGAAGGUGUGAAGUACUUCAAGUCCUCAUGUCCUUUACGGGUUGGGUUACACAAGUGCAUCAAUGGCAGUAACAAUGGGUUAAUCCCCAAAAAAAUUCUCAAUUGAGACUGGAGUUUGCAACUCGAUCCCAAGAAGUAGGAAUCGAUAGUAAUAGUGUAACAACAUGAGGAGGAGAAUACCUUCCCCGAACGUUUUACACGCUGUCGGUCACACCAUGGGAGUUGGUUAUAGCAGAUGGUUGUUCCGUUAACCAUUGGGGGAGGCACGGCGGCCACGGUAGGAUCAGCGACUGGGGUGAAGUCGUAACAAGGUAACC